CAAAUACAUAUUUUCAAUCCUAUGCUACACGUAAGGUUAAUGGGGUGCAUAUCGUCUUAGGCCUAGUGGCCGGGUAUGGGGUGGCCUGUCUAUAUGAGUGGUGCCAUGUUGGAUUUGGUCUCAGACCUUGUGCCUCUUAUCGUGUCUACGUUGUGCAUUGUCUUGCUGCUCCACCCACUUCAGGUGUUUGCGCAGGACCUAACUAUUGGCAGGUCAGGUGGGCUUCUGGUUAUGGUAGCUUAACUAAGACAGUUUUUUUCCAUUCUCUGGUUAAGGCUACUGGCCAGUUCGGCAGUGCUUUGUGGUGGGUUUUUUGUUUUUUUUUUAAAUUGCGUGUGCUUGCAUAGUGGUAGUAAUGCCUUUGUGCCUCCCUUCUAAAGGUGGUAUUCAGAUGUAUCCGUUUCCCCCCUGUUCCUCCCUCAAGUCCGCCUGACCGCUUGGCUCAUUUUCCUUUUUAAAUUUGUCAUGUUAUAAGAGCCCUACAGGUAGCGUCCCGUGUUG